rnacentral:rRNA from 1 species
UACAGAGGUCCCAAGCGUUGUUCGGAUUCAUUGGGCGUAAAGGGUGUGUAGGUGCGGCGCGUAAGUCGGGUGUGAAAUUCGCGGCUUAACUCCGAAACUGCAUUCGAUACUGGCGUGCUUGAGGACUGGAGAGGAGACUGGAAUUCAUGGUGUAGCAGUGAAAUGCGUAGAGAUCAUGAGGAAGACCAGUGGCGAAGGCGGGUCUCUGGACAGUUCCUGACACUGAGACACGAAGGCCAGGGGAGCAAACGGG